GAUGAAGAACGUAGCGAAAUGCGAUAAGUAAUGUGAAUUGCAGAAUUCAGUGAAUCAUCGAAUCUUUGAACGCACAUUGCGCCCGCCAGUAUUCUGGCGGGCAUGCCUGUUCGAGCGUCAUUUCAACCAUCAAGCCCCCGGCUUGUGUUGGGGACCUGCGGCUGCCGCAGGCCCUGAAAACCAGUGUCGGGCUCGCUAGUCACUCCGAGCGUAGUAAUACAUCUCGCUCAGGGCGUGCUGCGGGUUCCGGCCGUUAAAAAGCCUUAUUUACCCAAGGUUGACCUCGGAUCAGGUAGGAAGACCCGCUGAACUUAAGCAUAUCAAUAAGCGGAGGA
rnacentral:misc_RNA from 1 species